AGUGAACGCUGGCGGUAGGCCUAACACAUGCAAGUCGAACGGCAGCACAGUAAGAGCUUGCUCUUACGGGUGGCGAGUGGCGGACGGGUGAGGAAUACAUCGGAAUCUACUUUUUCGUGGGGGACAACGUCGGGAAACUUACGCUAAUACCGCAUACGACCUACGGGUGAAAGCAGGGGCUCUUCGGACCUUGCGCGAUUGAGUGAGCCGAUGUCGGAUUAGCUAGUUGGCGGGGUAAAGGCCCACCAAGGCGACGAUCCGUAGCUGGUCUGAGAGGAUGAUCAGCCACACUGGAACUGAGACACGGUCCAGACUCCUACGGGAGGCAGGAGUGGGGAAUAUUGGACAAUGGGCGCAAGCCUGAUCCAGCCAUACCGCGUAGGUGAAGAAGGCCUUCGGGUUGUAAAGCCCUUUUGUUGGGAAAGAAAAGCAGCAGGUUAAUACCCCGCUGUUCUGACGGUACCCAAAGAAUAAGCACCGGCUAACUUCGUG
rnacentral:rRNA from 1 species